GCGGAGAGCUGGCAGGACUACCACGCCCGCACACAAGCUGCUGGUGCUGCGCGCAGGAGGGCAAAGCGGGCGCUCUAUGACGGCUCUGGAAUGGAAAUCCACAGUCGGCAGAAGCGCACUAUCGCCUUCCCCACCGGCUCAGUCCUCACCCUGUCUCCUAUUUUCUGCAUUCCCGUCGAGACUCAGGGAGAUAUCAGUGGUAAGCUGUACAUCGAACUGCCGCUGCGCUUCACGCUGCCCAACAGCACGCAGAUCGCAGCCAUCGGCAGGGACA
rnacentral:lncRNA from 1 species